ACUCCCUGGCAAUGGGCAAAGAGACACCUUGUUGAUGGCGUCCUUACAUCAGUCAGGGACAGAACAGAUAACAGUCCUUUGUUCAUCCUAGCUUGAUGCCUGGUUUGGUGGACCAAGCUGCUUUAUGCCUGGAACUCAUAA